rnacentral:rRNA from 1 species
UACGUAGGGGGCAAGCGUUGUCCGGAUUUAUUGGGCGUAAAGAGCGUGUAGGCGGUUUGGUAGGUCCGCUGUGAAAACUCGAGCUCAACUUCGAGACGCCGGUGGAAACCAUCAGACUAGAGUCCGGAAGAGGAGAGUGGGAAUUCCUGGUGUAGCGGUGAAAUGCGCAGAUAUCAGGAAGAACACCCGUGGCGAAGGCGGCUCUCUGG